rnacentral:miRNA from 1 species
UCAUAGGAGGAAUCAACUGGC